CGUCAAUAGCACGGAGGCCAAAUUUCUUGCACUGUUGGUGCCAACUGUUUAUGGAAUCCCAAAGAUGUAAGGUACAAAGAUAAAUUAGCUAGGGGAGAUGCUGUUCGUCAAUUAGCUGUGUCAUUUAACACAAGUGAAGGUGAAAUCCAAAGAAAGUUACAAGGUUUGAGAAACUAGCAUUGAGCAUGCUGGUGAAACUAGAAAUAAAAAAAACAUCUAGAACAGGCCAAAGAACAGACGAAGUAUGUAUAAAAGCAAAUGGGUAUACUUCGAAUCCUUGAAAUUUUUAUCCACCGAGGCCAAUGUUGGUAGAAAAACAGUCAGAAAUCUAACUAUUUAACUUGACAGUUGACAUCAAUGAAAUUAUUAAUUGGGGCUCAACAACUUGUAUUUGUGAUGAUCAAUCAUAUGAGAUAAAUUUGAAAAGAACGAGAUAUAGUUUGACUCGGGGACUUGAACCCGAUAAAAUUGUUGGAAUAACAAAAAAAGACGAUCAAUUAACGUUUAUUAUGAAAUGGAAAAACGCUAAAGAUGGCAAAGGUGGAUUUCAUUAGUGCCAAAGAGGUGUAUGAAAAGUGACCAGACUUAGUGUUCGAAUACUAUCAAGCCCGUCAAACUUAUACGUCAUCUAGUAGCGAAAAAAAAUUUAUGGGAUAAAUCUAAGAUCCUGAAAAUGUUGUAUUUUUUAGAAAAUUAAUAAAAGCUGUAAAUAAUUCAUUUAAU